UACGUAGGGUGCGAGCGUUGUCCGGAAUUAUUGGGCGUAAAGAGCUCGUAGGCGGUCUGUCGCGUCGAUCGUGAAAACUUGGGGCUUAACCCUGAGCUUGCGGUCGAUACGGGCAUGACUGGAGUUCGGCAGGGGAGACUGGAAUUCCUGGUGUAGCGGUGAAAUGCGCAGAUAUCAGGAGGAACACCGGUGGCGAAGGCAGGUCUCUGGGCCGAUACUGACGCUGAGGAGCGAAAGCGUGGGGAGCGAACAGG
rnacentral:rRNA from 1 species